CCUUCGAUUAAGCGAAGUGAUUUAUUCAAGUAAAAAUUAUAUAAAUUAACAUAUCUUUAAAUCAACCAAGUGUUUGUAUUGUUUUCUUGGAGAAUUUAAAAGUAUAUUGGAGUAUUUUUAGUUUGUCUUCGUUGAAACUAGGUUGUGUUUGUAUUUCUACUUGAGUCAAGUAGAUAUGAUUAAAAUGAUAAUGUUUUUAUGGUGUGGUUAUUUAGAUUAAAUAGCUUAAUUGUUGAGUAAACUUGAUUGCUAAAGAAACUAGAUUAAGUUUUUGAUUCCACUUGAUUAUCAACUGCUUUUAAUGCAAAAAAAUUCAUUUGGAUUUGAGAAAAGGGAACAACAUUUUCAGAGUUUUUCUUCUUUAACUCUUUUAUUAAGGAAUUACUAUAGUUAAAACGGUUGAAAGGAAAAAAUAUGAUGAUUUGUUUCAAGAAAGUCAAAAAAUAAUAAAUAAAGAUGAUAUUGAUUGUGAUGACCAAGAGAUUCAUUUUAAGACACACCAAUCUUCAUGAUCUUAAAAUAAAAAGGAUAAAUAUGAUAGAUUUCCAUUAUCUCAAGCAAAAACAAAGAGUUCAAAAUAUUGGUGGUAAGAAUUGUCAAAAACUUGUGAUAGCUAUGAUGAAGAGUUUUAUGACAAAUUCAUUCAUGAUCAAAUUUAUUAUGGCAGCUGGAAAAGACAAAGGAUCGUUUUAGUCUAACCAAGCUAUACAACUUAAUAAAAGUUUGUGCAUCGACUGCUCACUAAUCAUAAACAGAGUCGAUCGUCGAUGCAAUAAUUACUGAUUCGUUAAAGCGGGCAACUUCUACUUGUGUUAAAGUACCUUAAAUCCAACAGAUAUCGUCGUUACGAUAUUAAUUUGUUUGUAAAUUGUUUUAGAAAAUAAAUUUAAAAAUAACUUU
rnacentral:lncRNA from 1 species